AGUGAACGCUGGCGGUAGGCCUAACACAUGCAAGUCGAACGGCAGCACAGUAAGAGCUUGCUCUUACGGGUGGCGAGUGGCGGACGGGUGAGGAAUACAUCGGAAUCUACUUUUUCGUGGGGGAUAACGUAGGGAAACUUACGCUGAUACCGCAUACGACCUACGGGUGAAAGCAGGGGAUCUUCGGACCUUGCGCGAUUGAAUGGUCCGAUGUCGGAUUAGCUAGUUGGCGGGGUAAAGGCCCACCAAGGCGACGAUCCGUAGCUGGUCUGAGAGGAUGAUCAGCCACACUGGAACUGAGACACGGUCCAGACUCCUACGGGAGGCAGCAGUGGGGAAUAUUGGACAAUGGGCGCAAGCCUGAUCCAGCCAUACCGCGUGGGUGAAGAAGGCCUUCGGGUUGUAAAGCCCUUUUGUUGGGAAAGAAAAGCAGCAGGUUAAUACCCCGCUGUUCUGACGGUACCCAAAGAAUAAGCACCGGCUAACUUCGUG
rnacentral:rRNA from 1 species